ACCCAGCCAAUCGUCACCUACACAGCUCCGGACAGCUUCCUUGUCAAUACAGCGAGCAGAGCGGGCAGCCGGCGCCCACGAUCACCAGAGAAUCGCUGAUCACCUGUACACUAAUAGAGGCUGGGAGAUGGAUACAGCAAAUAAGCACGCUCCCUCACUGACCGCUAUCAUAUCUGAAACAGCCUCGUCAGUCUGCCAAAGGCUGCAGCGAGUUGGCUGGUCACUAACCGACAUCUGUGAAACAUUGCCACACAGCAGUGCAGAAAUGAAAAGUGGUGUAAGAUUGAAUUGUCCUUGGGCCCUCCCUCCCACCCUUAUGUUGGAUAUUAAAAAGGACAUGCACAGUGUAAAAAGCCAAGCACUUCAGUGAUAGGGACUGACACUUUUGUGGUUGAAGUGCUUGCUUUGUUUGGGCUCUCACAGAACAAUUUUUUGGAAGGACUACCACCGAUUACAAAUGAGGAGGUUGAUGAUGAGGAUGUUAAUUAUGACACCCACCGACCCAGAUUUUCAUGAUACUUUGUACACUUGAUACUACCACAUAGAUACUAAUCCAUGUCAAAUUUUUCUUCUCUAGGCCUCAAAGUUUUCGAGAUACAGUAUAGGGCAGAGCUGACCAAACCAGUCCUCGAGAUCUACCAACAGUUCACAUUUUCCAGACCUCCUAGCUGGUGCACAGGUGUAGUAAUUACUAAUUAAGAUGUGCUGCAUUCAUUCCUAACUGACAAUUCUAUAAAUCUCCAGGAGGCCUGGAAAACAUGAACUGUUUGUAGAUCUCGAGGACCGGUUUGGCCAGCCCUGGUAUAGGGGGUCAAAGUUUCGAAAAAUUGCUGGGAAAUGCCACUCCUGAUACUCCAUUUUUUCUGAGGUGUAUCUAUAAAAAAAUUCACAUCCCAGUGCCUAAUCCAUGUAUCACUUUGAAAUUUUGACCCUUUGUCAAUCAAAAUAUGGAGA